rnacentral:rRNA from 1 species
GAUGAACGCUGGCGGCGUGCCUAAUACAUGCAAGUCGAGCGAACAGACGAGGAGCUUGCUCCUCUGACGUUAGCGGCGGACGGGUGAGUAACACGUGGAUAACCAACUUAUAAUACUGGGAUAAUUUCGGGAACCCGCAGCUACUACUGGAUAAUAUAUUGAACGGCUGGGUUCAAUAGUGAAAGAGGGUUUUCCUGUUAUUUUUAGCUGGUUCCGGGCUGAAUUAGUUAGUUGGUAAGGUAACGGCUACCCAAGGCAACGAACGGUAGCCGACCUGAGAGGGUGAUCAGCCACACUGGAACUGAGACACGGUCCAGACUCCUACGGGAGGCAGCAGUAGGGAAUCUUCCGCAAUGGGCGAAAGCUUGACGGAGCAACGCCGCGUGAGUGAUGAAGGUCUUCGGGUCGUAAAACUCUGUUAUUAGGGAAGAACAAAUGUAUAAGUAACUAUGCACGUCUUGACGGUACCUAAUCAGAAAGCCACGGCUAACUACGUG